rnacentral:lncRNA from 1 species
AAAUUUUUUUUUUUUUUUGAUUGUUAAUUAGAUGUUCGAUUUUUUACUUUUUGAAAAAUUUUGAUACUCAUAAUUUGAUAUGAUAGUACAUUUUACUUACAGAGUAGUUAUUUUAUUUCCAAAAUAUGGUUUUGCAGUCGAAUUGUUGGAACAAAUGCCGCACAGAAAUUUAAUUGUGAUUGAAUCUAACUAAUUUGUAAUAAAGAUAAAUAUAUCAACUUACAGAUGACGCAAAUAUUUCAAUAAAGAUUUGAUCGAUCCGGAAGCGUGCGAGGCACUGCCCUAAGGCGUAUUUCCGUCCUUACGUGCGGGAUUAAUCGAAAAUAACACCCUAAGGUACGACCGGAAUUCUCCUACGAGCACGAUCGUGAAGAAGGUUGACGGAAACUCUUUCAACACCUGAUGAUAAAAGAUCAAAUAAAUUAAAAUUAAAAGAAGAAAACUUCC